UUGAUUUUAAUAGUGUUAAAUUGAUGACUUAUCUUCUGUAUUAUUCUUAGGGAGUAACAAAGCAAGUGGAAAGAGCUGAAGGAAAGCCAGUUCUCCUGGAACCAACAGAGGAAUAAGACUGAUUAAUAAGCGUCAGCUGUCAAGUAACAUCACAGCACAAGGACUACAAGCUCGCUGUCCAACGACCAAAGUAGCUUCAUCUCUACAAAUAAACAUUAAUUUUCAAUGGUGAGAUAAUUUAUUCCAUUGUUACUUAUAUAUAAAUAUGAGUG
rnacentral:lncRNA from 1 species